CCUACGUGAGGCUGCAGUGGGGAAUAUUGGACAAUGGGCGAAAGCCUGAUCCAGCCAUGCCGCGUGUGUGAAGAAGGCCUUCGGGUUGUAAAGCACUUUCAGUGGGGAAGAAAGCCUUGGGGCUAAUACCCUCGAGGAAGGACAUCACCCACAGAAGAAGCACCGGCUAACUCCGUGCCAGCAGCCGCGGUAAUACGGAGGGUGCGAGCGUUAAUCGGAAUUACUGGGCGUAAAGCGCGCGUAGGCGGUCUGAUAAGCCGGUUGUGAAAGCCCCGGGCUCAACCUGGGAACGGCAUCCGGAACUGUCAGGCUAGAGUGCAGGAGAGGAAGGUAGAAUUCCCGGUGUAGCGGUGACAUGCGUAGAGAUCGGGAGGAAUACCAGUGGCGAAGGCGGCCUUCUGGACUGACACUGACGCUGAGGUGCGAAAGCGUGGGUAGCAAACAGGAUUAGAUACCCGUGUAGUC
rnacentral:rRNA from 1 species